CGAAUUGAAAAAUAAAUAAAAUGUGUAGUUAAAAUUGCAAAUAUAUAAAAAGAAUAAUUAAACAAACUUCAUAAAAACUGAGGACUCAACGCGCAAAUUUCCCAUCAAGGGCCAAAACACGCAGAUCCAUAGCCAUUAAACGGCAUUGUUUUAAUAUACUGCAUAAAAAACCAUUUAAAACUUGUUUUAAAACAAAAUUAGGUCACUUUUCUUUUUGUUUGAAAAUACAACAGCAGACUCAGCCCCCCCUCCGCCGUUUCAGACUUCGACGAAACGAGGACGCCCUCCUACGACCCUCAUGACGGUAAGUCCUCCUUUCUUUCUCCUUUUUCGUUUAUCUUCAAAACAAGGGAAAAAAAAUAAAAGGAACAAAACAGUGAAAAGAAAAGAAAAAUGGAGUCGACUAAUUACCUUCCAAAUAGUUUUUUUGAUUGUUCUUUGUUUGUAUUUCAGUCUUUCACUACAACAAUCGUCUAACCCCCAUUACAAAUUGAAAUCAGCCUUUUAUAUCCGAGCCGCACCCCCCAAAAAAUAAUAAAUCUCCUAAAAAUAAAAUAAAAUAAAAUAAAAUAAAAAAAUCUCUAAAUAAAUAAAACUACUUCCUCUUAUUUGCUGCCUCUACUGCCAUUUUGAUCAAUUUUUCGCAGGUAUGGAGAUCGUGGAAGACGUGCGAGCAAUGUCAUGGGAUAAUAAACAGUUGCUGAACGUGGGUGGUUGCGGCCGAAACCAUCAGCCUCCUAGGAUUUCUGUGACUUAGAAAAAUUUGGGCUGUAUAGGGUUAUUGGUUUGGGCUUUAUUGGGCCUCAUGUAUUUGGUUUGUAUUUGGCCAAAUGUGGGCUGUAAACAGUUUUGGGCCCCGGGCAAUAAUUAGGUAUUACAUGUAGUUUGUCACUUGAAUUUGGCCAAAAGUACCAAAUUGGUACCUAAACUUUUUUUUUGUACGUGGUUGGUACUUGAAUUUGUUUUCCAUCACUUAGGUUGGUACCUCCGCACUAACAUCAUUAGUUUGUGCAUAGGCUGACUCGAAAAAAUAAAAAAAAAAAUUUGAAUUUCGAGUUAAACGAAUUGAGUUAUUCGAAUCAACUCGAAUAUUUUUUUCGAAUUUCGAGUUCGAAUCGAAUUGAGUUUUCGAAUUCGAAUAACUUGAAUAAUUCGAAUAUCAAACUAUAAUAUUUUACAUUUUUACCCCAAACUCUCAAACUUUUUUACUUUUCCCUCAAAAUUUUUACUCCUUCCCACUUUCCCCCCAAAACUUUUAUUCUCCUCCCCUCCCAACCCUUUAAUCUACCCAAAAUUCAUUUCCCACCAAAAUUUUACUCUCCUAUUUAUUUUUUCUCAAAAUUUUACUUUCCAAAACCAUCAAAACCUUUUAUUUUCGCCCAAAAUUUUUACUCCUUCCCACUUUUCUCCUAAAACUUUUAUUCACUUCUCAUCCCACCUUCCAUCUAUCCCAAACCUUCCCCCCUUCAAUUUUUUUUAAAUAUUUUUCCUUCAAAAUUUUACUCCCUCUAUUUAUUUUCUCUCAAACUUUUAUUCUCCAAAACUUUUUAUUUUUCCCUUAAACUUUUACUU
rnacentral:lncRNA from 1 species